AUUGAACGCUGGCGGCAGGCCUAACACAUGCAAGUCGAACGAGUGGCGGACGGGUGAGUAAUGUCUGGGAAACUGCCCGAUGGAGGGGGAUAACUACUGGAAACGGUAGCUAAUACAGCAUACCAUCGGAUGUGCCCAGAUGGGAUUAGCUAGUAGGUGGGGUAACGGCUCACCUAGGCGACGAUCCCUGGCUGGUCUGAGAGGAUGACCAGGCACACUGGAACUGGGGCACGGUCCAGACGCCUACGGGAGGCAGCGGGGGGGAAUAUUGCACAAUGGGCGCAAGCCGGAGGCAGCCAGGCCGCGUGUAUGAAGAAGGCCUUCGGGUUGUAAAGUACUUUUAGCGAGGAGGCGGUACUCGCAGAAGAAGCACCGGCUAACUACGUGCCAGCAGCCGCGGUAAUUC
rnacentral:rRNA from 1 species